rnacentral:lncRNA from 1 species
CAGAAACCCUUCCUUCUUCUGUGAGAGUAAUCUGGAAGACUAGAGAACCGGGCUUUAAGACGAAAUGAUCUAACGGAGAAGCAGCAGCGUGAGCCAUUUUGGCAGACGAAAUUGGCAGAGGAUAACUUUCCACUCCCCAGCAAUACAGAAAAGUUACCCUCUCCCUGCUCAGACCCAGACAAUGGUCUCAGUCCGUAGCAGCCAAAGAACCACAGCUCUGAAGAAAAGAAGAUUGCUAAGCACAGCAUCCCUUCCUGAAUAUUCCCAAGCCCAUGUCCAAGGCAUCUCUCUUCAGCCACAAAGUGCAAGCUGCCAUGAACGAGGGGCUUGCUACAGCUCAGAUGUGGAUAUUCUUUGUUCAAAAUCAAACCUUUCACACGGUCCCCAUCUCAUGGCUGUACAAUUUCUGGCUGCGGUGCUGUCUCUAAUCAAACACCAUUCCAGGAGGUCCACAAGGAGGCAUCCUUGCCUGUCUCGAGAUGAGCACCUUGACUUGCUGGGACAGUGUCUCUCCAUCUACUAUGAGCAGAAAGCAUAUGCAGAUCUUGGACAGAAUGCUGCUUCAGAGUUCUUAAGCAUCUGGACUCAAGUUUCAAAUUACUUAUAAAUAUCUUCAAAUGUUCUCAGGACUUCUCUCUUCCAAAUACUGACAUCUUAUUCUAUGACUCACAAAUAACGUAUCCAUAGGUAAAUAUUAAAAAAGGUAUGCUGAUUUUGAUUACGCAUGUGACUGGGGUCAGUAAAGACGAGAAUCUUUGACAUGGACUUAAACUCCUGUUGGGGAUUCACUGUACACCUACUUUUGGUUAAGAGAUUCUUCUAAAAGCUC